GAUGAACGCUGGCGGCGUGCCUAAUACAUGCAAGUCGAGCGAACAGAUGAGGAGCUUGCUCCUCUGACGUUAGCGGCGGACGGGUGAGUAACACGUGGAUAACCUACCUAUAAGACUGGGAUAACUUCGGGAAACCGGAGCUAAUACCGGAUAAUAUAUUGAACCGCAUGGUUCAAUAGUGAAAGACGGUUUUGCUGUCACUAAUAGAUGGAUCCGCGCCGCAUUAGCUAGUUGGUAAGGUAACGGCUUACCAAGGCAACGAUGCGUAGCCGACCUGAGAGGGUGAUCGGCCACACUGGAACUGAGACACGGUCCAGACUCCUGCGGGAGGCAGCAGUAGGGAAUCGUCCGCAAUGGGCGAAAGCCUGACGGAGCAACGCCGCGUGAGUGAUGAAGGUCUUCGGAUCGUAAAGCUCUGUUAUUAGGGAAGAACAAAUGUGUAAGUAACUAUGCACGUCUUGACGGUACCUAAUCAGAAAGCCACGGCUAACUACGUG
rnacentral:rRNA from 1 species